AUUGAACGCUGGCGGCAGGCUUAACACAUGCAAGUCGAGCGGAGAUGAGGUGCUUGCACCUUAUCUUAGCGGCGGACGGGUGAGUAAUGCUUAGGAAUCUGCCAUUUAGUGGGGGACAACAUUCCGAAAGGAAUGCUAAUACCGCAUACGUCCUACGGGAGAAAGCAGGGGAUCUUCGGACCUUGCGCUAAAUGAUGAGCCUAAGUCGGAUUAGCUAGUUGGUGGGGUAAAGGCCUACCAAGGCGACGAAAUGUAGCGGGUCUGAGAGGAUGAUCCGCCACACUGGGACUGAGACACGGCCCAGACUCCUACGGGAGGCAGCAGUGGGGAAUAUUGGACAAUGGGCGGAAGCCUGAUCCAGCCAUGCCGCGUGUGUGAAGAAGGCCUUUUGGUUGUAAAGCACUUUAAGCGAGGAGGAGGCUACUAGUACUAAUACUACUGGAUAGUGGACGUUACUCGCAGAAUAAGCACCGGCUAACUCUGUGCCAGCCGCCGCGGUAAGAC
rnacentral:rRNA from 1 species